UGUGGAGCUCAGUGGCAGGCCAUGUGCCUAUUGUGCACAGGGCCCUGGGUUUGAGCCCCAGCUUCACAA
rnacentral:tRNA from 1 species